rnacentral:rRNA from 1 species
GACAGAGGGUGCAAACGUUGCUCGGAAUCACUGGGCGUAAAGGGCGCGUAGGCGGUGUGUCAAGUCAGGCGUGAAAGCCCCGGGCUCAACCUGGGAACCGCGCUUGAGACUGGCACGCUCGAGUUCGGGAGAGGAUGGUGGAAUUCCCAGUGUAGAGGUGAAAUUCGUAGAUAUUGGGAAGAACACCGAUGGCGAAGGCAGCCAUCUGGACCGACACUGACGCUGAGGCGCGAAAGCGUGGGGAGCAAACAGG